rnacentral:rRNA from 1 species
UACGGAGGGAGCUAGCGUUGUUCGGAAUUACUGGGCGUAAAGCGCACGUAGGCGGCUUUGUAAGUUAGAGGUGAAAGCCCGGGGCUCAACUCCGGAACUGCCUUUAAGACUGCAUCGCUUGAAUCCAGGAGAGGUGAGUGGAAUUCCGAGUGUAGAGGUGAAAUUCGUAGAUAUUCGGAAGAACACCAGUGGCGAAGGCGGCUCACUGAGCUGGUAUUGACGCGUGAGGUGCGAAAAGCGUGGGGGAGCAAACAGGG